UACGGAGGGGCUAGCGUUGUUCGGAAUUACUGGGCGUAAAGCGCGCGUAGGCGGACCUGCAAGUCGGGGGUGAAAGCCCGAGGCUCAACCUCGGAACUGCCUUCGAUACUGCGGGUCUCGAGUCCGGGAGAGGUGAGUGGAACUGGCGAGUGUAGAGGUGAAAUUCGUAGAUAUUCGCAAGAACACCAGUGGCGAAGGCGGCUCACUGGCCCGGUACUGACGCUGAGGUGCGAAAGCGUGGGGAGCAAACAGGG
rnacentral:rRNA from 1 species